rnacentral:rRNA from 1 species
UUGAAGGUUGGGUAACACUAACUGGAGGACCGAACCGACUAAUGUUGAAAAAUUAGCGGAUGACUUGUGGCUGGGGGUGAAAGGCCAAUCAAACCGGGAGAUAGCUGGUUCUCCCCGAAAGCUAUUUAGGUAGCGCCUCGUGAAUUCAUCUCCGGGGGUAGAGCACUGUUUCGGCAAGGGGGUCAUCCCGACUUACCAACCCGAUGCAAACUGCGAAUACCGGAGAAUGUUAUCACGGGAGACACACGGCGGGUGCUAACGUCCGUCGUGAAGAGGGAAACAACCCAGACCGCCAGCUAAGGUCCCAAAGUCAUGGUUAAGUGGGAAACGAUGUGGGAAGGCCCAGACAGCCAGGAUGUUGGCUUAGAAGCAGCCAUCAUUUAAAGAAAGCGUAAUAGCUCACUGGUCGAGUCGGCCUGCGCGGAAGAUGUAACGGGGCUAAACCAUGCACCGAAGCUGCGGCAGCGACACUAUGUGUUGUUGGGUAGGGGAGCGUUCUGUAAGCCUGUGAAGGUGGCCUGUGAGGGUUGCUGGAGGUAUCAGAAGUGCGAAUGCUGACAUAAGUAACGAUAAAGCGGGUGAAAAGCCCGCUCGCCGGAAGACCAAGGGUUCCUGUCCAACGUUAAUCGGGGCAGGGUGAGUCGACCCCUAAGGCGAGGCCGAAAGGCGUAGUCGAUGGGAAACAGGUUAAUAUUCCUGUACUUGGUGUUACUGCGAAGGGGGGACGGAGAAGGCUAUGUUGGCCGGGCGACGGUUGUCCCGGUUUAAGCGUGUAGGCUGGUUUUCCAGGCAAAUCCGGAAAACCAAGGCUGAGGCGUGAUGACGAGGCACUACGGUGCUGAAGCGACAAAUGCCCUGCUUCCAGGAAAAGCCUCUAAGCAUCAGGUAACAUCAAAUCGUACCCCAAACCGACACAGGUGGUCAGGUAGAGAAUACCAAGGCGCUUGAGAGAACUCGGGUGAAGGAACUAGGCAAAAUGGUGCCGUAACUUCGGGAGAAGGCACGCUGAUAUGUAGGUGAAGCGACUUGCUCGUGGAGCUGAAAUCAGUCGAAGAUACCAGCUGGCUGCAACUGUUUAUUAAAAACACAGCACUGUGCAAACACGAAAGUGGACGUAUACGGUGUGACGCCUGCCCGGUGCCGGAAGGUUAAUUGAUGGGGUUAGCGGCAACGCGAAGCUCUUGAUCGAAGCCCCGGUAAACGGCGGCCGUAACUAUAACGGUCCUAAGGUAGCGAAAUUCCUUGUCGGGUAAGUUCCGACCUGCACGAAUGGCGUAAUGAUGGCCAGGCUGUCUCCACCCGAGACUCAGUGAAAUUGAACUCGCUGUGAAGAUGCAGUGUACCCGCGGCAAGACGGAAAGACCCCGUGAACCUUUACUAUAGCUUGACACUGAACAUUGAGCCUUGAUGUGUAGGAUAGGUGGGAGGCUUUGAAGUGUGGACGCCAGUCUGCAUGGAGCCGACCUUGAAAUACCACCCUUUAAUGUUUGAUGUUCUAACGUUGGCCCGUAAUCCGGGUUGCGGACAGUGUCUGGUGGGUAGUUUGACUGGGGCGGUCUCCUCCUAAAGAGUAACGGAGGAGCACGAAGGUUGGCUAAUCCUGGUCGGACAUCAGGAGGUUAGUGCAAUGGCAUAAGCCAGCUUGACUGCGAGCGUGACGGCGCGAGCAGGUGCGAAAGCAGGUCAUAGUGAUCCGGUGGUUCUGAAUGGAAGGGCCAUCGCUCAACGGAUAAAAGGUACUCCGGGGAUAACAGGCUGAUACCGCCCAAGAGUUCAUAUCGACGGCGGUGUUUGGCACCUCGAUGUCGGCUCAUCACAUCCUGGGGCUGAAGUAGGUCCCAAGGGUAUGGCUGUUCGCCAUUUAAAGUGGUACGCGAGCUGGGUUUAGAACGUCGUGAGACAGUUCGGUCCCUAUCUGCCGUGGGCGCUGGAGAACUGAGGGGGGCUGCUCCUAGUACGAGAGGACCGGAGUGGACGCAUCACUGGUGUUCGGGUUGUCAUGCCAAUGGCACUGCCCGGUAGCUAAAUGCGGAAGAGAUAAGUGCUGAAAGCAUCUAAGCACGAAACUUGCCCCGAGAUGAGUUCUCCCUGAGACUUAGAGUCUCCUGAAGGAACGUUGAAGACGACGACGUUGAUAGGCCGGGUGUGUAAGCGCAGCGAUGCGUUGAGCUAACCGGUACUAAUGAACCGUGAGGCUUAACCUUACAACGCCGAAG